GUGAAGUUAGUUCCAUCCUCGCAACCGCCUCUCCACGUGGAGGGGACCGGACCUAAUCCAACGUCGGAUAAGCUUUUGCUCUCCGGCCAAACUCCGGUGUCGAGGACCCCGACGACGACGUCGCUGGAGGAGCCGGUUUCGGGGAAGAGGUCCGCGUUGUGGACGUCGAGGCCGAGGAAGAGUGGAGUGCGAGUGGUGUGUAGCUCGUACCGGUGCUCCGGUAGUACCGAGAUGACACCUGGCAGAGUCAUGAGCGAGUCGGUUUCUUCGGGAGUUAGCCGAGUGGAGAAUCCGUGAAUGGCGUUGGCGUAAGUGUAUAGGAGCUGAGCAGAUUGUGAGGCGGAUCUGAGGGAGGAGUCGUACCAGAGAGAGUGGAGGUCGAAGCCCGACGGCAUCUGAGACUGCGCCAUGUGAACGAUGUAAGUUGCAUGUUGAGCUCCAUCCGACACGUGGCAGAAGCCCGGAUGGAGGACGAGGAGGAAAGUGAAGAAUGCAGCGGAGGAGAGAAACGAAGAAGAAGACAUGUCUUUCGCAAUCUAUGGUAUCGCUCUGAUUUGGAUGAAUAGUUUAUAUCUAUAUAUAGUAAGUAGGGAGAGACGGGAGAUGCUAGUGAGAACACACAAAGAGGUUUUAGAUGCUAGUAACCGCAAGCUUCUGACACUGUGUCACAACGUGCCGUUUCCCACAUCUCUUUGUAUCGGUUUUAUAUUCCCAAACCCGAACCAGAUCUCAACUCCUGCCGCAAAAGACAAAUCUAUAAAGCUAACUCCAAACCAUUCUCAGUUACAACUAACCAUUGAAUCCUUCUUCUAACCGGAAUUAAUUAUAUGAAUCAUCUGGAAACUAUAUUCUACAAGUAAGAAAAAUAUACAAUAUAUCCGACUACAGAUAUCAAAAGUUACUAAGUAACCAUUUUGUUCCAAGCAUAAUUAAAUUAUAAUUAUCCGUGGAUUCAAUUAUGACAGUUAUAUGAGCAGCAACAAGUAGAUAUAUUAAUUCGCGACAUGUGACCUUGAUUAUUAAUCAAACCUGCCUAACACAACUCUAAUCUGUUUCCUCACUUGGAGAUAACUUCCAAAUAACAAUAUGUGACAGAUAAAUCGGCAAUUAUUUUUAUUAAACCGACUAAUUAUUGUCUUAGCUCCGGUUCGCUUGAAUACGGUAUGGUCGUGUCCACACUUCCACAGUCCACUCCAAAAUUCCCCUAAAGAAGGUUGCGUUACUACCCCACAUUCAAUGGAUUCCAUUGGGGAGUGGAGUCAACAAUUUUGUCUUUACCUCGAACUAAGUGUAAAUACAAAAGAAUCUAGAUACUCGUGACUCUUUUAUGUUUGUAUAUGGACAACAGUACAAUAUACUCCUGUCCAUAUUAGACAUCAAAACGUCUUUAUGUCCACACUAUUUAGAGCCAAACGUCUGUAUGCAAUUCCUUCUACACCAAAACGUAUGUAACGGUCCGUGGAUGCCAUAAGAGUGCUUUGUUUCAUUUGGUUUAGCAAUUUACUCUUUGUUUUGCGUACAUUGAUUAUUUGAUUACGCGCAUAAUCAUGAUUUAUGUUUUGAAAACGUACAGAUACAUAAGGAACUACUUUUCAUACUAGAUAUGAAUGGGUUUGGAGAAAGACAUCAUCAACUAACCAAUGCUUUUGAGUUUUGACGGUUGGGAUCCAAAUAAUGUGUGUGGCAAUUAUCGAGACUUUGGUUCGUAUGGUACGACAUGAAGUAACGUGUCUUUACAUCAGAUCAGAGUUCGCGAAAACCAUAUCUAAAUAAUUAAGCUACAUUUUCAAAUGUUCAUAUUGUUAUUAUUUUUUUUAGUUUAUGUUUUAUUUUUUAUAAACGAGCAAAUAAGAACAUCAGAAAGCUGGCAGGCUGGUCUAUUUUAUCCGACUCUCAGUAAUAAUGCCACGAUGAGGUAUUGAAUAUUGUCCACGUCCCUGAUUGAUUUCAUAUAGUAUUAAAUUUUGGGAAAAAAUAGUAUGUAUCAGGGUUUUAAUUGGACAAUUCUCUUUAUUUACUUGUUUUGGAACUUGGUUAAAAUUGAACUGUGUGCCUACAAAAUUCACCUCAUGAACACUUCUCUUCUUCUUUCAGUUAUACCUUAUAUAUUAAAACAGAAGUAAUGACUUCUCAUUCAUAUGUGAUUUUUAAAAAAAUAGACUAUCUACUAGAGUUGGUCAUAUUACAUUUUCAAUCAUUAGUAAUCUUUAUAUUAAAUAAAAGACAUUAUUAAAAAAUCUUUUCCAGAAACAUAUAAAUCUAUAAAUCUCUAUGCGCUUAGAUAUAACUCUCUAUAACUCACGAGAGUUUGUAGUUUUCAUGUAAAGUUUGACAUGAAGAGACGUCUUCCCAGAUUAUUUGUUUAAUCAUUGUGUUUUUGUAGUGUUGUGUUUGCAGACAAUAUUUACUAAAGAUUAUUUGAUUGUAAGCUCUGAACAUAUGUUAAUAAUUUACUGAACACAUUGAUUAGUGUGGAGAAGAUGAAGUUGGUCCAUUGUUAACGUCCAUUUAUGUUUUUCAAGUCAAUGAAAGCAGAAGACAAUAUUAAAAUAAUGGUCGCUUGAUACAAUUACGUUCAUUUAGUUGUCUUACCAUUUACUAAAGAUUAUUGGAUUGUAAGCUCUGAAACUAUGUUAAUAAUUUACUGAAGACAUUGAUGCAUUUGGAGAAGAUGAAGUUGGUCCGUUGUUAACGUCUAUAAGAAAUUUAGAAUAUCUACAUUCAGUUGCAACAAUAGAUAUCUACAUCUAUUCUGUUAACAAUUCAAAUUAAAUAAAGAUUAAUUCCUAUUCUGUUAUAACUAAUCAAAGCAAUAUCUACUUUCAAAGAAUAUAUAAUUUUCGUGAGUGUACUAACAUAUAUGAUAUUCUAAGCAUUUAUUUUAAAGCUUGGAGAUCAAGCUCACAUAUUUAUUGUUGCCCUGACCUUCUCAAUUUGUUUCCGAUAUUUUCGAAACAUAAUCACGUAAUUUUUUUUUUAUUUUACAUAACAACCUAAACAAUAUCAUCGAUCUAAUAUACUUGAUACCAGAUUUACAAUGAAUAUAUCAAUAUCUACAAUAUAGGUAACUAUAACAACCGAUUCUUAAUAUCCUAUAUCUUAUAUAUUAAAACAGAAAUCACAACCUUGAUUCAUGUGUGAUUUUUUAAAAAAUGGACCUAAUAUACCUAUUUCUAGAAAGUCAUGUUACAUUUAAUAUCUAAUCUUAUCAUUUAAAUUUUGGACCUACCAUAAAUUUUUAUUGGGCUAUCAAUAAUUGGAUUUACACAAUAGAUGAUCCAUUGGAUUUAUAGAUAGUAUAAAUUAAAUAUAUAUAAUUUAAUGUUGUAAUACUAUACCUCUAUAUGCUAAAUAUUUAAAUAUUUGUCGAUGUUAACUUUUAAAAUUAUAAAGAUUUUUUUAAAAUAACAAAAAUCAUAUUAUCUAACAAAUGAUUAAUCUUUACUACCUUAAACCAAUGAAAACAAAUUUUAAACUAUAUAGUUUAUUUUAAAAAUUAAACAAAAACUAAAUUUUUAAUUAUUUACUUGAUAAUAUAAAUCUAUGAAGCGAAAAGUUUAAUUUUUUAAAAACUUUCUAAAUUUGUGAAAUGUUACAAUAUCUUUGAAUAUGACAAUAAAACAAUAUUUAAUAACCUUUAUAUAUAUAGUUACGAUUUAAAUAAUAAAAUAAUAAUCCGAAAAUAUAUAUAUAUAUAUAUAUAUAUAAGAAGAUACAAAUACAUGUGAAAGUUUAAAACAAUCUAUUCAAUGAAAAAAUAUACAGUAAACUUAUUAAGUUUUAAAAAUUGAUAGACACAUAUAUAUAUUAUAAUAUAUCCCAAUUUAGAAUUGAAAACAAAAUAUUUAUAUAAAAAUAAAUAAAAACAAAAACCCGUCGUGAUCUAGUAAGAAGUUAAAAACUAACGCAAUCUAUCAACAAGUAAACUGAUGAUUUUAGCCUUUUAACCGUGAAAAGUUAUAUAGGCCGUUAAUCUAAGCCCUUUACAUGAUUAAGUUGGGCAAUUAUAGGCCCACGUAAUCCACAUUUUAUAAAAUAACUGGUACAGUAUUUGGCAAUUAUAGGCAUUUUAAUCAAAACUGAAAGACCACAUAGUGCAUUUGUGUUGCUGUAUACUAGUUUGACAAAGUACUAUUUAACAAGAUCAUCCCAUUUGCAGUAUUGACCACCGGCCAAUGCACGGUAGUAACGGUCUCUGCAAUAGACCGGUCUUCCAUCAGCAGCCUCAGCCGCGGCUGCUGCCAAGUCAUCAUCAGUGACAACAUCGGUGGGCAACCGAAGCAAUUGUUCUUUUCUGCAUAGUUUGUAUGAACGAAAAGAGAUGAGAGUGUGGCUCCAACCAAAAGUUCUGAUAGUUUGGUGUUACUGAUUGAUCUCUCUCCUUGUUACCUCAUAUUGAACUUGUUGUUGGUUCUUGAAAUGGAAACCUCUGGUUGGUUAUCCUUAGAUGAUCUUAGAGUGGUUUUAAAGAAAUCCUCGACUGGUGUUGCGAAAACGAAUAGGACGAAUGCUGAAACGAGCAAAGCUCCUGUUCCAAUUAAUGUCUGCUUCAGCAUCUUGAUUACUGGCUUCACCUGAAACUCACAAAUGUAGCCUCAGUUUCUUUUUUUGCCUUUCCAGCAUUUGAAUAAGAAACAUCAUUGUCUGCAUUCAUUUACCUUGUAAGAGCCUAACAGCCUGUCCCUAGCCAAUACCUGAGAAGAAACAAAGAUGGAAAUGCAUUUGGACCAUAGGAAUGUUCAUUUCUUGUAAUGAAAAGGGAAAAGACUUUGGAAAAGCAAACCUCUGGAGGCUUAACCCACAUUUGGCCAUCAUACCAUCCGCUCUCUUCGUAUGGAAUAACAGCAGAAAGUAGUCUAUCUCCAACAUAGCUCCAUCCCUAACAACAAACCAACCAACUUCAUUUAUAAUCCACUAAUAAAUUAAUGUUAAGCUGGGGAGAAGUCUAUUAAUUAAAUACCAGGUAAAUUCUCAAGACAAUCAACGAAACCAGGAAUAAAGUCCCUGUCCCUGCAGCUAUAACAAACCUCAAAGGUUCCUGCCAGGAAAAUUAUAUUGUAAUCUGUAAAAAAAAAAAAGAGUGUACAAACACAUAUCUUCUUCUUCUUCUUCAAAAGGGAGAGGGUCACUGACUCUGGAAGGAUUAAAGCUAGCAGCAGCGAUGGGAACACCAAGGACAGUGAAGGUGACCAACCAAAGACCACCGAGACGAAGAAAGAAUUUGCUUGGACCUAAUUCUCCCCAUGAGUACAACAUCCCUUCCUUCAAAGCCGAAUACUCAUUCACCUAAAUAACCCCAACAAAAGGGUAUUAUCAAAAAAAAAAUUAUUUCAUCUAUAUAUUUAUAGAGUUAGAAAAAAAUGAGACCCCGACGACGACGUCGCUGGAGGAGCCGGUUUCGGGGAAGAGGUCCGCGUUAUGGACAUCGAGGCCGAGGAAGAGUGGAGUGCGAGUGGUGUGUAGCUCGUACCGGUGCUCCGGUAGUACCAAGAUGACACCUGGCAGAGUCAUGAGCGAGUCGGCUUCUUCGGGAGUUAGCCGAGUCGAGAAUCCGUGAAUGGCGUUGGUGUAUGUGUAGAGGAGCUGAGCAGAUUGUGAGACGGAUCUGAGGGAGGAGUCGUACCAGAGAGAGUGGAGGUCGAAGCCCGACGGCAUCUGAGACUGCGCCAUGUGAACGAUGUAAGUUGCAUGUUGAGCUCCAUCCGACAUGUGGCAGAAGCC
rnacentral:lncRNA from 1 species